UACGUAGGGUGCGAGCGUUUGUCCGGAAUUACUGGGCGUAAAGAGCUCGUAGGUGGUUUGUCGCGUUGUCCGUGAAAACUCACAACUCAAUUGUGGGCGUGCGGGCGAUACGGGCAGACUGGAGUACUGCAGGGGAGACUGGAAUUCCUGGUGUAGCGGUGGAAUGCGCAGAUAUCAGGAGGAACACCGGUGGCGAAGGCGGGUCUCUGGGCAGUAACUGACGCUGAGGAGCGAAAGCGUGGGGAGCAAACAGG
rnacentral:rRNA from 1 species